rnacentral:tRNA from 1 species
GCUCCGUUGGUGUAGCCCGGACCAGCUGACCAAGAGGUUGUCUGGGGGUAACCAAUCAUCUCGCCCUCUCGAGGCGAGGACGGGGGUUCGAAUCCCCCACGGAGCA